rnacentral:rRNA from 1 species
CAGCAGCCGCGGUAAUACAGAGGGUGCGAGCGUUAAUCGGAUUUACUGGGCGUAAAGCGUGCGUAGGCGGCUUUUUAAGUCGGAUGUGAAAUCCCUGAGCUUAACUUAGGAAUUGCAUUCGAUACUGGGAAGCUAGAGUAUGGGAGAGGAUGGUAGAAUUCCAGGUGUAGCGGUGAAAUGCGUAGAGAUCUGGAGGAAUACCGAUGGCGAAGGCAGCCAUCUGGCCUAAUACUGACGCUGAGGUACGAAAGCAUGGGGAGCAAACAGGAUUAGAGACCCGCGUAGUCCCUGUCUCUUAUAA